rnacentral:rRNA from 1 species
CGAGACCUCAGGUCAGGCGGGGUUACCCGCU